GUGCUGAUGAAGAGUCCCAAAAUAGUUGGACGGAACAGCUGUCCAGUAC
rnacentral:hammerhead_ribozyme from 1 species